CACGCUGAAACACCGGGUCUCGUACGAUUACAGAAGUUAAGGAAAGACGAGCCUGGCCAGUAGCUAGAUGGGUGACCGCUGGAGAAGACCAGGCGCUGUAAUC